CCUCGCCCCAACGCAGAACCUGCAGGGAUCGCCAGCCACUAAUGGAAUUUGUUCAUUUUCUUUCCAUUACUGUGUCAGACAGGAUAUUUAAUAGCAAGAUGCCUGUGGAAAGCAGAUGCUUGCUGCCAAGCACAGAGAACAGUCAGAGCUGCAGGGACUACCUCAAGAAGAGCAGAGAGGAGCAGCCCCACAGACAUGCUGAGGAGCAUCUUGCAGGCUGUGUUGUCAUGCUGGUUGCCUCCCCAUCCUCUUGUGUGUGUGAGAGAGAGAGAAAAGAGGAAGAUACUUGUCCCAAAAUCAGUCUAAAAACCUGCACCCAGAAGCAUGAGGCAGAUUAAAACUUGCAAGAAAACCACUGGACUGCAUUUGCAAAGCUGAGCAGCAGGUCGCGAUAGAUUCUUUCUGCCAAGAGCAAACUACAGGAUCGUGUGAUAUUUCUGAGCCACCUUCCUUUGUCUUCUGUGUGCAACGUUGCAUUUAUUUGCAGCACAAUGUGUAAAAACGCACCACUGCUUCAGGGAGGAAGCCUGCAGACCACAAUAGCCAACAUGCAAUGCCCCUUUCCAAUGCAGACUUGAUCUCCCUGCUGUAUAAAGGAAGUGCUUCACUACUGCAGUUGCGGACUGGUUGCUGGCUGGUCUGAGAUGCAUUUCUCCCUGUUGACCCUAUUGAUGGGGAUGAGUUCAACAAGUUAUGUGGAGGAGCUGUGCUGAUGCAGUACUGAUGGGGAGCAGAUAUUUUAUACUUUUGCCUUGUGAUGCUGUAGCUCCUUUUACUGCAAUCUUAGCACUGCAGCAGGCUUGACGGGCGGCAUUUUUCCUGCUAUGUGCAGAUAGGGAUCAGCCUGCUGGCCAUCACGUUGUUUUUUUAACAGGAACACGUUAUUGUGCAUCAAUGCAUGGCCAACCUGUGUGUGAAGAGAGCUGCCAUGCCAUGCUUCACUGAGCAAUUUCUGCUUGGACCAAAUCUAGCGAGCUGAGCUAAUCCUGCCAGGAACAGAGCUGAAGAAGGGAAAAGAUGAGAAAAUCAUAGCCUGCAGGACAAAUAUAGACCCUAUGAAGGCAUCUCUUGCCCAAGAGCUGAAAUAUUGUCACGAGAAAGACAGUGGCCCACAGAUAUAUUUUCUAUUUCAGCUUUUAUGUUGAGAAGCAGAACCGUAACCGUCCCCAGUAAAGGGAAAACAAGUACAGCAUAGCAAGCCAGUUAGAUAAGUUUUCCCUUACUGAGAGCUCUGCAGCACAUUUCCCAUCCCCACACCACCACUCCUCAAGCUCAUCACCAGCCUGAGUUCUUUCAUCCACCGCAAGGAAAAUUAGGAGCAGAGAGAAGCAGCUGAAAAGGAGAUCCAUGCAGAGACUUGCAAGGACAGGGAACGGAAUGAUUGAAGUUCAGCAUCUUAUUUAAGAACAGACUAUUUACUCCUAUAAUGAAAACCAUGGAAACAAUGAACAGCAAAACAUUAUUGAUUCAAACAUCAGAGUAAGGACCUAGAAAUGGAAGAGGCGUGCUUGUAAUUACAGCGCCCAGUGAAAACUCACGCCAGUCAUCAACAAAGCAGAGCUGAUUCCCAGGCAGACCAAAGGAGGACACCUUUCACACUCUCCCCUCCCCAUUCAGAAGACUGAAAGAGCAAGUUUAGUUGGCAUGUGGCCUCUGCCUAAGGCUUGACAGUGAGAGAAAGGUACAGCCCAAAACAGCCCUGCUCUUCUUGUACGAGAGAUUCUGAAGUUUUUGAGUACCAUUCAGAGCAACUAUGCUUUAACUGACAACGCAGAGCUGGGCUGUGGAAUAGCAUCUACUGCUCAGUAGAACAGUUCUCUCCAAGUAGAGCAAUGUGAGCAUGCUAAGGCACAGUGCUUUGCACGAGAAGCAGUGCCUGCAGCUGGGGACAGAAGACAUCGAGAUUAAUUGCAACGUGUUUGGAGAUGGAAAGGUCAAAUGCUUGGAAAACCCAGAACAACACUUCCCACCACGCUCACCCAAGGUUUGGAGACCCUGUGUGGGGACCAUCCACAGAUAGGGGCAGCUCCCAUCCAGUUUCUGUUUGGAGAUGCUCAGUGCAAGUAGGAAGCGCGCUGUCAAAGCUGAAACUGUCCUCAGCUCACCCCACACCUGUCUGUCUCAUCCACCAAGCAGCACUCCUCAUGGCAUUUAUCUUAUUCUUUGCUUUGUGCUGUAAUCAGCAAGUCCUGGGUAAGACACAGAGCUCCCCUUCCAGGCAUGGCAUCAGGACGGAAUUAAAUGGACUCUGAACACACAAAAGUUUUCCUGUAGAUUAUUUAGAAUCUUUUGUUUUCUGAACAAACAUCACUGUACGAAAAGUAGAAAUAUGUUCACUAUUCCUUUGCAGUGAC